AGAGUUUGAUCCUGGCUCAGGAUGAACGCUGGCGGCGUGCCUAAUACAUGCAAGUCGAACGAAGAGCUAGCAAUAGUUCUUAGUGGCGAACGGGUGAGUAACGCGUUGGUGACCUGCCCCGAAGCGGGGGAUAACAGUUCGAAAGGACUGCUAAUACCCCAUGAGAUCUCAGAAGUUAGAGGGUUUGAGAUGAAAGGAGCAAUCCGUUUUGGGAGGGGCCUGCGUCCCAUCAGCUAGUUGGUAGGGUAAAAGCCUACCAAGGCGACGACGGGUAGGGGACCUGAGAGGGUGAUCCCCCACACUGGCACUGAAACACGGGCCAGACACCUACGGGUGGCAGCAGUAGGGAAUAUUGCACAAUGGGCGAAAGCCUGAUGCAGCAACGCCGCGUGCGCGAUGACGGCCUUCGGGUUGUAAAGCGCUUUUCGGGAGAUGAGGAAGGACAGUAUCCCCGGAAUAAGGCUCGGCUAACUACGUGCCAGCAGCCGCGGUAACACGUAGGAGCCAAGCGUUAUCCGAAUUCACUGGGCGUAAAGCGCGUGCAGGCGGCUCGAUAAGUUGGAUGUAAAAGCUCCUGGCUCAACUGGGAGAGGACGUUCAAUACUGUCAAGCUAGAGGGCGACAGAGGGAGGUGGAAUUCCCGGUGUAGUGGUGAAAUGCGUAGAUAUCGGGAGGAACACCAGUGGCGAAAGCGGCCUCCUGGGUCGCACCUGACGCUCAGACGCGAAAGCUAGGGGAGCGAAUGGGAUUAGAAACCCCAGUAGUCCUAGCUGUAAACGAUGUAGACUUGGUGUCGGUGGGGUAAAAGCCAUCGGUGCCGAAGCUAACGCGAUAAGUCUACCGCCUGGGGACUACGGCCGCAAGGUUAAAACUCAAAGGAAUUGACGGGGGCCCGCACAAGCAGCGGAGCGUGUGGUUUAAUUCGAUCCUACACGAAGAACCUUACCCGGGUUUGACAUGACGACGAACGAUCGCGAAAGCGUGAGGGCCCUUCGGGGCGUCGCCACAGGUGCUGCAUGGCUGUCGUCAGCUCGUGUCGUGAGAUGUCCGGUUAAGUCCGGUAACGAGCGCAACCCUUGCCAUAUGUUACAAGUGUCAUAUGGGACUGCCGGUAUAAAGCCGGAGGAAGGUGGGGAUGACGUCAAGUCAGCAUGGCCUUUAUGUCCGGGGCUACACACACGCUACAAUGGUCAGUACAAUGGGUUGCAAAGCCGCGAGGUAGAGCCAAUCCCGAAAGCUGGCCACAGUUCAGAUUGCAGGCUGCAACCCGCCUGCAUGAAGCCGGAGUUGCUAGUAACCGCGCGUCAGCUAUAGUGCGGUGAAUACGUUCCCGGGCCUUGUACACACCGCCCGUCACGUCAUGGGAGCUGGCAACACCUGAAGCCGGUAUCCUAACCGUAAGGAGGGAGCCGUCGAAGGUGGGGCUGGUGACUGGGACGAAGUCGG
rnacentral:rRNA from 1 species